rnacentral:rRNA from 1 species
UACGGGGGGGGGCAAGCGUUGUUCGGAAUUACUGGGCGUAAAGGGCUCGUAGGUGGCCAACUAAGUCAGACGUGAAAUCCCUCGGCUUAACCGGGGAACUGCGUCUGAUACUGGAUGGCUUGAGUUUGGGAGAGGGAUGCGGAAUUCCAGGUGUAGCGGUGAAAUGCGUAGAUAUCUGGAGGAACACCGGUGGCGAAGGCGGCCCCCUGGGCCGCGCCUGACGCUGAGACGCGAAAGCGCGGGGAGCGAACGGG